rnacentral:piRNA from 1 species
UGGAAUGUCCUUAGGCCUAGGCCACUGUU